UAGACUUGGACUUCCGGACUAGGCCCGGACUGGCGUGGGGGCAGGGGCGGAGCUUGGGGGCGGGUCUUAGAGGGAAAAAAGACUGCCUCACCUGAGUUUCCCAGGUACAGGAUUGAUUGCCUUUACGAUCCUGCUGAGUCACUAACUUGGCCAAGGUGGGCUUAAAUUUGAGAUCCUCCUGCCUCAGUUUCCCAGAGUGCCAGGAUUACACACCACCCACACCCAGCAAUUUGCUGAAUUUUAAAACCUCUAUGUACCUGUAAAAUCACCAGUGUUGUCAAGAUCCAGAACAUUUCUAUCACCCCUAUAAAAUUCUUUCUUCUCCUCUGCAAUCCACCACCCUUCUAUCUGCACCUGAACCCAAAGAACUACUGAUCUGCUUUGGAUCGAUAUGUUGUUUUGAGACAAAUAGCCCAACCUGCCCUCUGAUGCACAGCAAUCAUCCUGCCUCAGCUUCUGGAGUGCUGAGAUUACAGGCAUGUACCUCCAGCUUCUCAUCUAUCUUACUGACUGGAUCUGGCACUGUGUGACUUCUGGCUCUUCCCUAAAGUCAGAAUGACUGUGAAAUGAGUGAGCAGUUUAGUGAAUUGAAUCAAUUCCAGACAUGCCGCAGCCAUGAUCAUGCAAGGAAAGAUGAGAAAAAGAAUUUCCAGAAUUGCUUCAGAAAGUCAAAAGAUUAAUGGGUUAAGUGUGUUUGUUUUAUCCCCUGUACCAGGAAUCGAACUCAGGACCUUGUGCUUACCAGGCAGGCACGGUGCCACUGAGCAAAAUCCCUGGCCUAGGUUAAGUGUGUUUGA